ACCUCAAACCUAGUUUUUAAUUAUAAUAUACUACAAUUAAAUAAAAAUAAAAAAUAAAACAUUUUACUGUCUAGUAAAGGAGAUUGAAGAACUUAUAAAAACUAUAAAUAAUGUACCGCAAGGGAGUGAUGAAAUAAAAAUGAAAUAAUGUUUAAGUAUUAAUAAGCAGAGAUUAACCCUCGUACCUUUUGCAUCAUGGUCUAGCCAGUCAAAACAAGCAAAAUGCUACUAAAGUUUGUAACCCCGAAACUAAGUGAGCUACUUCAAAACAGCCUAAUGAGCCAACUCGUCUCUGUAGCAAAAGAGUGAGAAAAUUUUUAAGUAGAAGUGACAAGCCUAUCGAACUUAGAGAUAGCUGGUUAUUUGAGAAAAGAAUAUUAGUUCUGCCUUAAGCUUAUAAACAUUAAAAUAAAAUAAAAUAAUUUACUUAAGAGUUAUUCAAAUAAGGUACAGCCUUUUUGAAACAGGAAACAACCUAAAAAUUAGGGUAAUGCUAUAAAACCCAUAACCAAGUUGGCUUGAAAGCAGUCACCUUUAAAAAAGCGUCAAAGCUUGACUAUAUUAAAACUUAAUUCCAAUAUAUAUGCUAAACCCACAAAUAUUAUCAAAUAACUUUAUAAAAAUAUAAAUCAUAUUAUGCUAGAACUAGUAAUAAGAAUAAGAACUUCUCCAAAAUAUAAGUGUAAUGCAGAAUAAACCAUCACUGCUAAUUACCUGUUUAUGAAUUUAAAGUAGUAACCCCACUAGAAAACUCUACUCUCCUAAACAUUAACCUAACACAAGGAUAUUACUGGAAAGAUUAAAAGAAAGGGAAGGAACUCGGCAAAUAAAUUUAGCCUCGCCUGUUUACCAAAAACAUCGCCUCUUGCUAAAACAUAAGAGGUCCCGCCUGCCCACUGACUAAAAGUUUAACGGCCGCGGUAUCUUAACCGUGCAAAGGUAGCACAAUAAAUUGUUCUCUAAAUAAGGACUAGUAUGAAUGGCACCACGAGGGCUUAACUGUCUCCCCCAUCCAAUCAAUGAAAUUGAUCUUCUCGUGAAGAAGCGAGAAUAAACAUAUAAGACGAGAAGACCCCAUGGAGCUUCAAACUCAUCACCACUUACCUAAAUUUAACCACUAUAAAUAGUAAAAAUGUUAUUGAUAGUUUUCGGCUGGGGUGACCCUGGAGUAAAACAGACCCUCCAGAAUGAAUGAAUUUAAAGUUCUAAUCCAAGAAUUAUAAUUCUAAGAAUCAAAAAUUUGACAUAAUGAUCCAAUUAUUUGAUCAACGAACCAAGUUACCCUGGGGAUAACAGCGCAAUCCAUUUCAAGAGCCCCUAUCGACAAAUGGGUUUACGACCUCGAUGUUGGAUCGGGGUAUCCUAGUGGCGCAGCCGCUACCAAUGGUUCGUUUGUUCAACGAUUAAUAACCCC
rnacentral:rRNA from 1 species